rnacentral:tRNA from 1 species
CGCCCGAUGUGGGACUUGAACCCACGACCCUGGGAUUAAAAGUCCCAUGCUCUACCGACUGAGCUAACCGGGC